UCCUACCUGCAAACUUUGCCUCCCUGGGUCAAGUGAUUCUCCUACCUCAGCCUCCCAAGUAGCUGGGAUUACAGGUAUGUGCACCACAUGCAGCUAAUUUUUGUAUUUUUUUCAGUAGAGAUGGAUUUUACCAUGUUGGCCAGGCUGAUCUCUUGAACUCCUGAGCUCAGGUGAUCUGCCCACCUCAGCCUGCCAGAGUGCUGGGAUUAUAGGCAUAAGCCACUGCAUCCAGCCUAAUUUUAAAAUUUUUAACUUUUUUUUUUUUUGAGAUAGAGUUUUGCUCUUGUCACCCAGGCUGAAGUGCAAUGGCACUCGGCUCAGUGCAACCUCUGCCUCCCAGAUUCAAGCAAUUCUCCUGCCUCAGUCUCCACAGUAGCUGGAACUACAGAGAUGAGCUCUUGCUCUGUCACCUAGGCUGGAGCGCAGUGGCUCAGUAAUAGUUCACUGCAGCCUUAAACUCCUGGACUCAAAUGAUCUUCCCACCUCAGCUUUCUGAGUAGGGAACAUGACAUCCUCUUCCUAGGUUACACCCACCUGCAGAGGGCCCAGCCCCAUCACUGGAGCCACUGGAUUCUGAGGAUGAGUAUUUUGUGUCAAGUGGAUUCAAGGGACAGUGCGAAGGAUCCAUGGCCUCAGUCAUGAAGACUCUCCCAAGAGCCAACCGUCCUGGGCACAUAUAAAUGAGUGGAGACAUGGAACUCACCCUUACAAGGCCUAGAACUUGACAGAGCAUACAAGACAGAAGCCCAAAUAACCAAGAACAGGAAGCUGAAGCACUUUGGGAGGUCAAAGCAGGUGGACCGCUUGAGUCCAGGAGUUAGAGACCAGCCUGGACAACAUGUUGAAACCCCAUCUCUACAAAAAAAAUACAAAUUAGGCACAGUGGUGGAUAGUUCCAGUUACUCAGGAGGCUGAAGUAAGAAGAUGGCUUUAGUGUGGGACGUGAAGAUUGCAGAAAGCUGACAUCACAACACUGCACUUCAGUCUUGGCAACAGAGUGAGACUCUAUCUGAAAAAAAUUGUAUACUUUAUUGAAUCAUUUAUAUAUGAUUGUUAUUUUUGAUUACAUAUUGUUUAGUUCACUACUUUAAAGCCUGCUUUAUUAUUUCUUAAUUUUAUUGACUCAUUUGUGCCUUAGUCUGUUUCAUUACAAAUUAUUGUUUAGUCACUACCUUGGAGCCUGUUUUCUUUUUUAAAAAAUUUUAUUACACUUUAAGUUAUGGGGUACGUGUGCAAAUGUUGCAGGAUUGUUGCAUAGGUACACACAUGCCAUGGUGGUUUGAUGCCUCCAUGUCCCCAUUACCUACAUCAGGAAUUUCUCUUAAUGUUAUA